UUGGCAGACCAGACGAACGCUGUACCACGCCACAGCAGGCAAUGGUAGGGAGGAAAGUCCGGGCUACAUAGGGCAGAGUGCCAGCUAACGGCUGGGAGGCGCAAGCCUACGACCAGUGCAGCAGAGAAUAGACCGCCUCGGCAAGCAAUGCCGCGGUAAGGGUGAAACGGUGGGGUAAGAGCCCACCGCGUGCUUGGUAACAACGCACGGCAAGGUAAACUCCACUCGUAGCAAGACCAAAUAGGUGUCCGUUUCGUGUGGCCCGCAUAGGACACGGGUAGGUUGCUUGAGCGUAGUGGUGACGCUGCGCCUAGAUGAAUGUUCGUCCUCGACAGAACCCGGCUUAUCGGUUUGUCAAAUCU
rfam:Moraxella atlantae strain CCTG 59586 contig_18, whole genome shotgun sequence.